rnacentral:rRNA from 1 species
UACGGAGGGGGCUAGCGUUGUUCGGAAUUACUGGGCGUAAAGCGCGCGUAGGCGGACCUGCAAGUCGGGGGUGAAAGCCCGAGGCUCAACCUCGGAACUGCCUUCGAUACUGCGGGUCUCGAGUCCGGGAGAGGUGAGUGGAAUUCCUAGUGUAGAGGUGAAAUUCGUAGAUAUUAGGAAGAACACCAGUGGCGAAGGGCGGCUCACUGGCCC